rnacentral:lncRNA from 10 species
CUCCACCACAGCUUCUGUCCGGUGGUGACCAGCACUGAUCUCCGGAGCCAAGGGAGGACCCGGGACACCUGGGAGCCGGGAAAUGCUGCAGCCCAAGAGGCCAACUGGAACGUUAACAUCAGACACUAAUCCAGCUGACUGGACACAAUUGGGAAAACUGGUUAUUUUACCAAGGCUUUAACUGGAAUGGUGUGCCUUCCUUUAAGGAAUCAAAUUUGACUUAUGGAGCCAAUAAAGCCCUUGGAAAGCUGGCCUCAGAUUUCAUGUACAGUCCCUGUACAGGGUUUCCGAUCUGUGAGAUUUUUUAAACUGACAGGAUCAUGGCCAUUUCACAGACAACUACCCAAAAAUAUCUACAGACGGCACUGCUCCUACCAACCCGAUACCAGAGAACUCUCUGUCCCCUCGUCAGCAGGAAGUAGCCAGAAAGAACAUGCCGCCCCUCGUCCUUUUUAUAACUAUGAGGUCUGGAUUGACAGAGCAGAAGCAUCACCAUUGUGGAUAAGCGCCUCAUUUUAAAAUUCACCUUAAUCAAAAACUGCCUAAAUCCAAAGGGCAUCAGCCUAAUGGCUAAGGUCAGCAUGAUCACAAACCACAAAUAACAUCUCCAACCAAAAACAUUCCAGACACCUCCCACAGAGAAAUGCUAGCCUCGGGAUAACCCCUCUCCUGCCGGAAAGAUGUCACCCCCAAGAUAACCACCCCUCCGCCCAGAACAUUCCAACCCUGCCACAAACUUCUCCCCCACACAGAAACAUUCCAAGCUUGUAAUAAGCUCCCUCACCCUAAAACCAACGUACAUUCUUAGUCUGCAAGGAAAAGUGCUCCUGACUGACCAGCCAGAAUCCUCUCUCAGGUCUUUUCUAUAAUAAACCUGUCUUUGAC